rnacentral:rRNA from 1 species
GACGUAGGGGGCCAGCGUUGCUCGGAAUUACUGGGCGUAAAGGGUUCGUAGGCGGUGUGGCAAGUCGGUAGUGAAAUCUCCAGGCUUAACUUGGAGGCUGCUGCCGAAACUGCCGUGCUAGAGUGCAGGAGAGGCGAGUGGAAUUACAGGUGUAGCGGUGAAAUGCGUAGAUAUCUGUAGGAACACCCGUGGCGAAGGCGGCUCGCUGGACUGCAACUGACGCUGAGGAACGAAAGCUAGGGGAGCAAACAGGAUUAGAUACCCGACG